UACGUAGGGGGCAAGCGUUGUCCGGAAUUAUUGGGCGUAAAGAGCUCGUAGGCGGCUCGGUAAGUCAACUGUGAAAGCUCCGGGCUCAACUUGGAGAGGCCAGUUGAUACUGCCGUGGCUAGAGUCCGGUAGGGGAGCGUGGAAUUCCUGGUGUAGCGGUGAAAUGCGCAGAUAUCAGGAGGAACACCAGCGGCGAAGGCGGCGCUCUGGGCCGGAACUGACGCUGAGGAGCGAAAGCGUGGGUAGCAAACAGG
rnacentral:rRNA from 1 species